rnacentral:rRNA from 1 species
GAUGAACGCUGGCGGCAUGCCUAAUACAUGCAAGUCGAGCGGCCGGACGUGAAGCUUGCUUCUCUUAUGUUAGCGACGGGCGGGUGGGUAACACGUGGAUAACCUACCUAUACAACUGGGAUAACUUCGGGAAACCGGAGCUAAUACCGGAUAAUAUUUUGCACUGCAUGGUUCAAAAGUGAAAGACGGUCUUGCUGUCAGUGAUAGAUGGAUCCGCGCUGCAUUAGCUAGUUGGUAAGGUAACGGCUUACCAAGGCAACGAUGCAUAGCCGACCUGAGAGGGGGAGCGGCCACCCUGAAAGUGAGACACGGACCAGACUCCUACGGGAGGGAGCAGGAAGGAAGCUUCCGCAAUGGGCGAAAGCCUGACGGAGCAACGCCGCGUGAGUGAUGAAGGUCGUCGGAUCGGAAAACUCUCUUAUUAGGGAAGAACAUAUGUGUAAGUAACUGUGCUCAUCUUGACGGUACCUAAUCAGAAAGCAACGGCUAACUACGUG